UACGUAGGGUGCAAGCGUUGUCCGGAAUUAUUGGGCGUAAAGAGCUCGUAGGCGGUUUGUCGCGUCGAAUGUGAAAACCCACAGCUCAACUGUGGGCUUGCGGUCGAUACGGGCAGGGCUAGAGUUCGGUAGGGGAGACUGGAAUUCCUGGUGUAGCGGUGAAAUGCGCAGAUAUCAGGAGGAACACCGGUGGCGAAGGCGGGUCUCUGGGCCGAUACUGACGCUGAGGAGCGAAAGCGUGGGGGAGCGAACAGG
rnacentral:rRNA from 1 species